CAGCAGCCGCGGUAAUACCGGCGGCCCGAGUGGCGGCCACUAUUAUUGGGCUUAAAGCGUCCGUAGCCGGGUUGGUUAGUCUCCCGGGAAAUCUGGCCGCUUAACGGUCAGAAUUCCGGGAGAUACUGCCAGCCUAGGGACCGGGAGAGGCCGAGGGGAUUCCCGGAGUAGGGGUGAAAUCCUAUAAUCCCGGGAGGACCACCUGUGGCGAAGGCGCUCGGCUGGAACGGGUCCGACGGUGAGGGACGAAGGCCAGGGGAGCAAACCGGAUUAGAUACCCGGGUAGUCCUGGCUGUAAACGAUGCGGACUUUGUGUCGGACAAGCUAUGAGCUUGUCCGGUGCCGGAGGGAAACCGAUAAGUCCGCCGCCUGGGGAGUACGGCCGCAAGGCUGAAACUUAAAGGAAUUGGCGGG
rnacentral:rRNA from 1 species